rnacentral:rRNA from 1 species
GUUGAACGCUGGCGGCAGGCCUAACACAUGCAAGUCGAGCGGAUGAAGGGAGCUUGCUCCUGGAUUCAGCGGCGGACGGGUGAGUAAUGCCUAGGAAUCUGCCUGGUAGUGGGGGAUAACGUCCGGAAACGGGCGCUAAUACCGCAUACGUCCUGAUGGAGAAGGUGGGGGAGCUUCGGACCUCACGCUAUCAGAUGAGCCUAGGUCGGAUUAGCUAGUUGGUGGGGUAAAGGCCUACCAAGGCGACGAUCCGUAACUGGUCUGAGAGGAUGAUCAGUCACACUGGAACUGAGACACGGUCCAGACUCCUACGGGAGGCAGCAGUGGGGAACAUUGGACAAUGGGCGAAAGCAUGACACAGCGAUGCCGAGUGUGUGACGAAGGUCUUCGGAGUGUAAAGCACUUUAAGUUGGGAGGAAGGGCAGUAAGUUAAUACCUUGCUGUUUUGACGUUACCAACAGAAUAAGCACCGGCUAACUACGUG